UACGGAGGAUCCAAGCGUUAUCCGGAUUUAUUGGGUUUAAAGGGUGCGUAGGCGGCUUAUUAAGUCAGGGGUGAAAGACGGUGGCUCAACCAUCGCAGUGCCUUUGAUACUGAUGAGCUUGAAUGAACUAGAGGUAGGCGGAAUGUGACAAGUAGCGGUGAAAUGCAUAGAUAUGUCACAGAACACCGAUUGCGAAGGCAGCUUACUAUGGUAUUAUUGACGCUGAGGCACGAAAGCGUGGGGAUCAAACAGG
rnacentral:rRNA from 1 species